ACCAUAUGCAAGGUUUCGUACACAGAGGGACUUGUCGGGAAAGAGAUGGCUGCUUGAGGAAGCUCCCAUUUAUUAACAUUUCAACAAACAAGUUGCAUAUUUGCAUAACGUAUUCAAAACAUAUACUGUGCUGUGUAAACGGUACUGUAUCACAUAGCGUAACAGACACACAAACUUUUCAACUUUCAAACUUAAACGGUGCGCUCCCAGCGCACAUACCAGCAGUGAGGCCUAAAAAAAUUUUUGUUUGGUUCCGGUUUCCGACCGACCCUGUCAAUUUAUGUGCGACCCAAAUUAUUUUAUGAGCUUUAUAAAAAAAAAAUAUUUUUAUUUUUUUUGAUGCAAACUAUAAUUACGUUUU